UACGUAGGGGGCAAGCGUUGUCCGGAUUUACUGGGCGUAAAGAGCGCGUAGGCGGAAGUUUAAGCGGUGCUUGAAAGCCCCCGGCUCAACCGGGGAGAGUGGUGCCGAACUGGACUUCUUGAGGGCGAUAGAGGAGAGUGGAAUUCCGGGUGUAGCGGUGAAAUGCGUAGAUAUCGCUUGGAACGCCGAAGGUGAAAACAGGCUGCUGGGGUUGUGCCGACGCUGAGACACGAAAGCCAGGGGAGCAAACGGG
rnacentral:rRNA from 1 species